rnacentral:misc_RNA from 1 species
UCGUGCUGGGGAUAGAGCAUUGCAAUUAUUGCUCUUUAACGAGGAAUCCCUAGUAAGCGUGAGUCAUCAGCUCGCGUUGAUUACGUCCCUGCCCUUUGUACACACCGCCCGUCGCUACUACCGAUUGAAUGGCUUAGUGAGACCCUCGGAUUGGUAUUCGAUGGUUGGCAACAACUCGUCGUUCUCUGAAAAGUUGGUCAAACUUGGUCAUUUAGAGGAAGUAAAAGUCGUAACAAGGUUUCCGUAGGUGAACCUGCGGAAGGAUCAUUAACAAAAGCGAGUUUCUACUUUUAGAUUCUUGCUAGAUCAACCAAAACCUGUUUCUUUAUUGAUGUAUAUAAAUCAAACAUCACAUUCAUUAUAUAAUAUAAUAAAACUUUCAACAACGGAUCUCUUGGCUCUUGCAUCGAUGAAGAACGCAGCGAAUUGCGAUAAGUAGUGUGAAUUGCAGAAUUCCGUGAAUCAUCGAAUCUUUGAACGCAUAUUGCACUCUUUGGUAUUCCGAAGAGUAUACCCUGUUUGAGGGUCAUUGAAUAAUAAUAAUCUUGGUAAAUUAAUUAAUUGAUCAAGGAAUAAUGAGUUAUCCGUUACUUAUCUUGUAUAGGUGAUGGUGAUUCGAAAAUAAUGCUGGUCUUGGCUUGUAAGAGACGCGUAUUUAGGGUGGCAUUGCCUCCAAAUUUUCGCAACCAUCAAGUCAAUUUCGGGUAGUGCUUUUUUCAAUUACUUGCAAAAUUGAAGGAACCACAACAAACAUACUUUUUUAAUCGUGACCUCAAAUCAGGUAAGAGUACCCGCUGAACUUAAGCAUAUCAAUAAGCGGAGGAAAAGAAACUAACCAGGAUUCCCCUAGUAACGGCGAGUGAAGCGGGAACAGCCCAAAUUUUAAAUCGAUCCUUGUGGUCGAGUUGUAAUUUGAAGAAUUACUUUCCAUAUCUUGAUCCGGUAAAAAGUCCCUUGGAAUAGGGCAUCAUAGAGGGUGAUAAUCCCGUAUUUUGUCGUGAUCAGAUGUCUUGUGAAGUGAUUUCAAAGAGUCGAGUUGUUUGGGAUUGCAGCUCAAAAUUGGUGGUAAAUUCCAUCUAAGGCUAAAUAAUGGCAAGAGACCGAUAGCGAACAAGUACCGUGAGGGAAAGAUGAAAAGAACUUUGAAAAGAGAGUUAAACAGUACGUGAAAUUGUUGAAAGGGAAACGAUUGAGGCCAGUCAUGCCUGCGAAAAAUCAAUCAAUAGAUUUGUCUUUGGAUAAAAUUAUUUGAUGCACUUUUUCGCGUGGCAGGUUAGCAUCAACUUUAAUUUUUGUAAAAUGGUGGUUGGAAUGUGACUCUUUAUAGAGUGUUAUAGCCGGCUACAGAUGCAAGGAAUAAGGUUGAGGAUUGCGACAAAUGCCUUUGGGGUACAUACCUUCCUUCUGAUUCGUUCACUUUGGAACGACAGCUUGCUGACGUUUUGGAGGGCGUUCGAUCAAUAGGGUAGAGUUAUGAUAAAUUUGUCAAGGAUGCUGACGUAAUGACCUUAAACGACCCGUCUUGAAACACGGACCAAGGAGUCUAACAUACGUGCGAGUGUUUGGGUGGCAAACCCAUACGCGUAAUGAAAGUGAACGUAGGUGGGAUUUGUCUUUUUUGGGACAAAGCACCAUCGACCGAUCUUGAAAUAU